CAUGCCCUGGAGUUUCCACAUAAGAUUAAGCAUUUGUAAGGUUGGGUGUUAUUCCUUUGUGGAAAAUGCUCCCACAAUGGAAGCAGUAGUUGAAGGUACCAGACACGAUGUUUUUUGAUGAAUGUGAGGCAAAGACAUGGAAAGGUGCAAAACAUGAACAGCAUGAACAUACGCCACAGUACCAAAGAGCAAGUGUAACAGACUUCCUGGCUAAUGAGUGUUCUCCACAGAAACACAGGAUUAUAUCCUGAAAAGGGCGUCAUGCUUCCAUUUUUGCUUCAUGCCUCUUAUUUUCUCUCAGUUGAAUAUGCCUUCUUAGUUUUUGCUAGCUUAUGUUGAGCUUCAGAAGAGUAACGUGCUGGCUGCAUGGAUGCUGUAGUGGGCCAGUAAGAGUAAAAUGAAGAUCUAAAAAAGAAAAAUUUUUAAAAGCCAAAUACAGACUUUCCCUCUCAAAAAGGGAGUUACUCUAGACUGAACAAAUAAAGCCAUGAAACCAAAUUGUGCCUUCUAGAAAUAGAAUAAUAAAGGUUUUUCCCUUAUGCUCUUCUCCUAUUACAUCAAAUGAUGAUGGCAGCAUCAGGAAGAAGAAAACUGGAUGAUUCUUCAUGUGCUGCUCCCUUCUGUCUCCCUUCUUGUUCAAGCUGCACAAGAAACCUCUGCAGAACCAUAUGCUCUUCUGGUCCCUUGGAUCCUGUAAGGCUUCAAGACCCAGCCUAGGGGCUUAAUGAGGAAGCAAGUCAGGGCUUAAGCCAAGAAUUAACUAACAAGAAUAUAGGAUCCUUAUGUGGAAAGCACUGAAUAUAUUUUGAAUGCUGUCAGAACAUGACAAAGCUGACGAGACAGCUGGUUUAUCACAGAUGUGAAUGCAGUAAUGCCUUUGCUGCAGUUAAAGGUAGGCAGUGGGAAAGCACAAAGAACUCUACAGUGGUAUCUGUCCUUAACAUUCAGUUUGUUUUCUGAAUGUAAGACUUCAGAUCUCAUAGCUGCCAAAAUAGCACCUCUGACAAAUGCUGAAAAAUGACCCAUCUGAAAUAUGAAAAGCAAAAGCAGAAGGUAAGUUUCACUCCAAAUAAAACAGUAUUGACAAAUACAAAAAUCUGUUCAAACCCCUUCCCCUUCUUUGUUUUUUCAAGUUGCAAAGUGAAUAAAUUAGAAAGAAAUAGUAUUGUUAUGAAUGCGAACUACACUUCCUUCAUAAAGGCACUGGGAAAGUUCCAUCCUCAUGACCCCUUUAAAAGCCAGUUAAAUUAGUUGUUUAACAAAUACAUGCUAAAAGUGGCAGGAACAUGAGAUACAGAUUGUGUGCUUUGGACACCAACCUAGGAAAGCUAUAUACCUGCCCGACAUGUCUCUUCCAGCUGUGCUUUGUGCAGAGCAUUUAGCAAGGCAGGCUCACAGUGGUAGAUGAAGCUGCUUAACAACUGAACGUUGAGUUUUCCCAAGCCUUUGUCAUUGUGUAUUUUCUAUUAUUUCUAUUGUGUAUUUCUACAUAUUUUCAAAAGAACUUGGAGAGGUCUGCCAAACAGCAUUAUUUUAACUUAUAACACAAAACCCUUCAAGAGGCAGAAAAGCAGUUUAUUUUAUAAAGACCUCAAAAAUAAAUUCCAAACAGGCUGACAAAACCACAGUGGCAAGUUCUGGUAUUUAAAAAUUAAUUUAUUUUAGUGAAUAAAAGGUGCAUGGACAAAACAUGUUGGGUUUUGGUUUAUUGUUUGGUUUUUGGUUUGUUUUUUUUUAAUAUACAGCAAGUUUAUCAUGAAGGAGAACAUCAAAAUAAUCCAUCCUUUCACAAUUGUGUUUUCCAAUGAUCAGUGUGAGUGGGUAACUGCACAGAUAUUUAAUGGGCAGAUGUUACAAAGUCAUGUUAACAGGUAUGUGCAACAAAUACCUUUUUUUCCUACUGUACUUACAAAUGUGUGGCAAGUAACUGUCAUUGUAUUACUAGUAAAGGGCUGUUCUUGUUUUCCUGACAAAAAAAAAGCAAACCUCAACUGUAAAUAAGAAAUGUAAUAUGACAUUGUGAAAGCUCAGACUGUAAUGGUUAAGGCAGAGGAUUAGAGAUCAAGUUUCUUAAAAUGUAUUUCUGCCCAGGCUGGUGUAGUUUAUGAACUGUGGCAACAUUUUCAAGCUUCUCUGAGCUGCCUCUCUAAUGGAAAUAUUUAUUUCACAAGUGUGUAGAAAAGCCAAAUACCAAGGGAAGGAAAAACACUGGCAUGCAAAAUGAAGCUGAAACUUGGUAUAGGUUCUUACAUUAGGAACAGCCAGGAGCUGAUCAUGCCAAAGCUCUUGAUGCUCUGGCCUCAGCAGCAGAAACUUCAGCUCCUUUUUAAGCCUUUCUGACAAUGUUUUGGAAUGUGCAUAAUCCACUAUGGCAUGUAUUAUUGUUGUUCCAGGGAGAUUUUGCAGAGGCAACCUUCUCCAGCAGUUAUUCCUGCCACCAGGGUACACAGGGCUUUCAACCAGAUUACUGGUAGGCUGUAAGAGAACAAUACAACUACAGGAAAGAGAAUAUAUUUGUGUUGUUCUUCUCUAUAAAGGUUUUCCCAUUCAUUUUAAUCAGUCAGAUCAAUCACUUCAAAGAUUGAAGAAAAAAAAUGCACUGAAGAUGCUGGAGCAGAUAAAAUUGUUUGGUUAAAAAACCCCAAACCAACCAUCUGUUCUUAAGGUAUUUACAUCUGUAUUACAUAAUUGUAUCAAUAAUUGUGCUGUCACCAAAUAUAAACUGAUCACAAAAAUAUGUAUUUAUAAUAUAUGCACCAUUGUAUGUCCAUAAACAAUUGGAAUUUUCUUUACUGUUCUUGUACCAAACUUAAAAAGAGAAUGCACUUGAAAUAUUCUUACAUCUCUCCUCUGUAAAAUUGGGUAACAACUGGCUCCAGCCACAGCCUGGGACUUCACUUUGGUUGAGAACUAGCAAGAGCAGGCAGCAUUAUUCACCUCAGUGCCAUGACUCCUCUCAUUGCUUUCCUGUCAUUUUGAGCUUUGAAAAUGUUCUUUCUCUAACUCCUUGAGGAUGAAUAAAAUCUAUCACAAAAUGUGA